GAUGAACGCUGGCGGCGUGCCUAAUACAUGCAAGUCGAGCGAACAGACGAGGAGCUUGCUCCCCUGACGUUAGCGGCGGACGGGUGAGUAACACGUAGAUAACCUACCUAUAAGACUGGGAUAACUUCGGGAAACCGGAGCUAAUACCGGAUAAUAUAUUGAACCGCAUGGUUCAAUAGAGAAAGACGCUUUUGCUGUCACUUAUAGAUGAAUCCGCGCCGCAUUAGCUAGUUGGUAAGGUAACGGCUUACCAAGGCGACGAUGCGUAGCCGACCUGAGAGGGUGAUCGGCCACACUGGAACUGAGACACGGUCCAGACUCCUACGGGAGGCAGCAGUGGGGAAUCUUGCGCAAUGGGCGAAAGCCUGACGGAGCAACGCCGCGUGAGUGAUGAAGGUCUUCGGAUCGUAAAACUCUGUUAUUAGGGAAGAACAAAUGUGUAAGUAACUAUGCACGUCUUGACGGUACCUAAUCAGAAAGCCACGGCUAACUACGUG
rnacentral:rRNA from 1 species